UGCCAAGAACCCACCCUAUUGGCGAAUCACUUCAACUUGUUUCCUGCAACUCUCUCUCUCUCUCUCUCUCUCUAGGGUUUCAAAAGUCGGCUACACACACCAAGCGACUCUUUCCACUUGAAAGAGAGAGAUUCUUCGAGUAAGUCUCUCUUCAACAAUUGCGACUGUAUUUAAUUAAACCCUUUUAUAUAUGUAUAUUUUUAUUACAAUUUACCUCAUUUUCUUGUUGUCCAUGUAGUUGAAUCAGUAAGCCCUACUACAGCUCAGCUAGGGUUCUUACUGGGUCAUAUUCGUGUUUGAAUUUUCCUCUUCCUUGUCCAUCUAGAUAGAAAGAUGAAGUUUUUAGAGAGAGAUAGAUGGUCAAAGGGUUUUAGGUGAGAAAAGUGCCAUGGAAGACUAAAAAUUUCAAAAUCAGCUACUUAUUUGAAAACACAAUUUUGCUUGUUUCUAUGAGCUUUCCAGGAAUAAUCCUUUAAUGUGUACCAAUCAAAUUUUGUAGAGUUGGGUUGUAUUUCCUUUUUGAGUAUGUUAGGAGAAGAUAAAGACCCUGUUGCCGGUGGUGCUGGUACCCGGAAAACUUAUUUCAGGUCGGUUUCAUGGGCCGGCCGGUCUCCGUCUAAGCCUUACCAAAACCUUAACCCAAACCCGAGACCACAACCAAAUAAUAAAGUGCGGUCGUGCUUGCCACCACUUCAGCCUCUUUCUAUCACCCGGCGGAAUGUCGAGGAGUGGCCCAAGGCGGGUUCUGAUGAUCUUGGCAUAUGGCCUAAUCCACCCCAAACACCAAGAGGGGGGGAAGUUAAACCCCUUGAGAAUUCUAAUUCAGAACAACCUGUGAGAGAAUUCCAGUUUAAGAGGGAUAAGCUCGCAUUUUUCGAUAAGGAAUGCUCAAGAAUUGCUGAUCAUAUAUACUUAGGAAGCGAUGCUGUGGCAAAGAACCGUGAAAUUUUGAGGCAGAAUGGAAUCACCCAUGUGCUGAACUGUGUUGGGUUUGUUUCUCCCGAGUAUUUCAAGAGUGAUCUUGUGUACAAGACACUUUGGUUGCAAGACAGCCCAUCGGAGGAUAUUACUAGUAUCCUCUAUGACGUGUUUGAUUACUUUGAAGAUGUUCGAGAGCAAGGUGGGCGGGUUCUUGUGCAUUGUUGCCAGGGAGUGUCACGAUCGACAUCUCUGGUUAUUGCAUACCUCAUGUGGAGGGAGGGGCAGGACUUCGAUGAGGCCUUUCAAUAUGUGAAGGCAGCACGAGGAGUGACUAACCCAAAUAUGGGUUUUGCUUGCCAACUUCUGCAGUGCCAGAAGCGAGUACAUGCUGUGCCUGCAAGCCCAAGUUCUGUGAUUAGGAUGUAUCGGAUGGCCCCUCACUCAUCAUACGAUCCUCUUCAUCUUGUACCAAAAAUGUUAAGCCAUCCGAGUGCACAAGCACUUGACUCUCGUGGAGCAUUUGUUGUGCAUGUUCCUUCUGCUAUAUAUGUGUGGACUGGGAAAAACUGCAACUCCGCUUUGUCAAAGAAUGCAAAGGCUGCUGCCCUUCAGGUAAUUCGAUAUGAAAGGGCUCUGGGACCGAUUGUGAGUAUCAAGGAAGGUGAAGAGCCAUCAGAAUUUUGGGAUGCCCUUGCCAGUGGGCCACUCUCAGCGGAUGGUUGUGAGAAAAUGGAGGUCAAAAAGGAAGAUAACUUGUCUUACCAAAAGGAUCCAGAUGCUGCAGAAAAUCGAGUUGAGGUUAGUGAAAGGAAGGUUGAUGAUUAUGAUUUGGAUUUUGAAAUUUUUCACAAGGCACUUGCCGGUGGGGUUGUUCCACCUUUUUCGGUAUCAAAUACUGGAUCGGAAACUUGUCUUCCUGCCAGAGAAAAUGGGUGGGGGAGACUACGACGGAAGCUUGCUAAUGGUAUUAUGAAAGAAUUGGUCACCUUCUCCAAACUGAACAAUGACAGUACUCUAUCCAAUGAUGAAUCAAAUAUGAUUAUAGAUACACAGAAAGAAGCAGAGGACCCCGUUUGUCUGAUUGAACUUUCAUCGCCACAGUCACCAUCCACCCAUCCAUGCGGUUCACCGGAUUCCUUUGAUUGUUUCCCAAAUAGCAGCCCAGAUAGGAUGAGGGAGACUUCUAAAGAAGUGGAACACUCUGUUACUCUUACUUAUCCCUCCAUGUUACCAACACCUUGUGGUUCGCCAGAUUCAUUUUCUUGUUCUGUGACUCUUACUGAUCCUUUCUUUUCACCCACACCUACCGGUGGUUCGCCAGAUUCUUUUUCUUGUUUUCCAUGCAGCAGCCCAAAGUUCAGCUCCAAGUCCCCAACACUCUCACCUUCAACAUCUGAGUACUCCAGUUCAUUUACCUUUUCACCAUCAUCUUCUAAUUGGUCUGACUUGUCAUACUUGUCUUCACAGCAGCCUUCGCCUUCUGGCUGGGAAUCUACAGAACUAUUUGCUCAUAAGAAUACUUCUUUGGCAGACAAUUCCUGUUUACUUCACAAAGAGACUGCUCUGCCUGCAGAGCAGUUUUCUGGUAAUCGUUCAUUGAAAGUGGCAAAUGCUUCUUUUCCAUGCAAGGGAACUUCCCCCUCUAUUGCGGAGCGCAGAGGGAGUAAUCCCCCACCUCGAAUGUUCUUACCCUCAGUUGAUGAGUCGUCUCAAGUCCCGAAGAAUCUGGUAAGAUCAUGGUCUUUCUCGCUACCUGACUUAGAGGAUGAUGUGAUGAAGGAUGUUGAUUGCAACCAAUUCGAGCAUGAAGACAAUAGAGAAGAGCUUAUAUUUGAUACUGGAUUUGAAUCACGUAGUAAGAUUGAAGAUAAGAAAGAGGAUGAUAAUGAAUUUCAUCCUCUGUCAGGUGAUUUGGUUGACUGGGUCGCAGGAUUGAAGACCCCAGUUUUGUUCCAGUGGCCUUCUAUGAAUAAAGUGGAGAUGCAUCCCUUUUGUAUUCUUGAUUCUAGAUCGGUAUACAUUUUGUUGGCUCCAGAUAUGAAUUUGGGCACCAAUAAAAGUGGAAUCUUAUUUGUCUGGUUGGGGAGUGAAUUCUCGGAUGAGAAAUGGCAUAGUCAAGUGAUCGGCACUGAUGGCAAAUGUGCUAAUAGCCAUCCUCACUGGGAAGCAGUUGGCCGCAACUUGCUUAAUCGAAUGGAUUUACCAAUCGAUGCCCCUGUACAGAUAAUAAGAGAAGGUGAAGAGCCAGAGCAGUUUCUAAAACAUCUCAGCUGCUUAUCAUUUCAUAAGACAGAGGACAGCAGUCACAGUUGAGAAUGGUUUGUGGAGACGCAACAUUAGUAGGUUUAGCCCUUGUACGGAAUGUCAGAAAGGAUUUGUUGCCGAAUUCAAAAGGGGUAAGGUGAUCAGUCCUGAGCUUUUUGUAUGGCCCAUAAUCUGCAAUUUUGAUGCCUGAUUAUAAGGAUAAGACAAUUGGUAAAUUAUUUUGAAAAAGCAGGUUUGACAUGUGCUGUUUCCUUCAUUAUCUGCAAUUUUGAUGCCUGAUUAUAAAGAUAAGACAAUUGGUAAAUUAUUUUGAAAAAGCAGGUUUGACAUGUGCUGGUUCAAUCCUUCAUCAUCUUUACUCUUCAGAUUUUGCUCAAAUGGCAAAGGGGUGUUGUGAGGAUCAUGGAGGUCUUAGACCUUCUUUCUCUCCAAGCGAAGGAUUCUUGCUUUUGCUAAGGAAAUACGUGGUCAAGUUAGCAGGCCUAGUUCCAGUAUCAAGCAUAAAGCUGGCAAAGUACGACAACUUAUUGCUAGACCAAAUUCUUACUCCCCCCCGUACGGCAUCGUUUUUUAAGAAACAAUAACUUAAACGAGGUGUUUGUUUUUUACUUUUUUAAUCUGCAACGGAGAUUAAAAGGGUUAAGCUUUUAGGGCAACUUUCUCGGCAAUAUAACUUGCAGCAUUCUAUCUGGGUCUUGGCCUUCUCUUUUAUUUU